AAACGAUAUUGGAAGCUUGCUUCCGAUAGGCGUCGACCGGCGCACGGGUGAGUAACGCGUAUCCAACCUGCCCACCACUUGGGGAUAACCUUGCGAAAGUAAGACUAAUACCCAAUGAUAUCUCUAGAAGACAUCUGAAAGGGAUUAAAGAUUUAUCGGUGAUGGAUGGGGAUGCGUCUGGUUAGCUUGUUGGCGGGGUAACGGCCCACCAAGGCGACGAUCAGUAGGGGUUCUGAGAGGAAGGUCCCCCACAUUGGAACUGAGACACGGUCCAAACUCCUACGGGAGGCAGCAGUGAGGAAUAUUGGUCAAUGGGCGAGAGCCUGAACCAGCCAAGUAGCGUGCAGGAUGACGGCCCUAUGGGUUGUAAACUGCUUUUAUAAGGGAAUAAAGUGAGUCUCGUGAGACUUUUUGCAUGUACCUUAUGAAUAAGGACCGGCUAAUUCCGUGCCAGCAGCCGCGGUAAUACGGAAGGUCCGGGCGUUAUCCGGAUUUAUUGGGUUUAAAGGGAGCGUAGGCCGGAGAUUAAGCGUGUUGUGAAAUGUAGACGCUCAACGUCUGCACUGCAGCGCGAACUGGUUUCCUUGAGUACGCACAAAGUGGGCGGAAUUCGUGGUGUAGCGGUGAAAUGCUUAGAUAUCACGAAGAACUCCGAUUGCGAAGGCAGCUCACUGGAGCGCAACUGACGCUGAAGCUCGAAAGUGCGGGUAUCGAACAGGAUUAGAUACCCUGGUAGUCCGCACGGUAAACGAUGGAUGCCCGCUGUUGGUCUGAAUAGGUCAGCGGCCAAGCGAAAGCAUUAAGCAUCCCACCUGGGGAGUACGCCGGCAACGGUGCAACUCAAGGGAAUUGACGG
rnacentral:rRNA from 1 species